CCGCGCUAGACGGGGAACUUGCGGUGCCCUGUAACCCGCAAUCCGCAUAGCGGGGUCGAAUUCCCGUCCUGAGGCCUUCUCCGUGUGGGGUCAGGUCUGGGUAAGCGAUGUUGAGGAUUGGGUCCUGCGCAACGAGAACUUCCGAACCGUGUCAGGUCCUGACGGAAGCAGCACUAAGGAAGACCUCUCGUGUGCCGCAGGGGUGCCUGAUCUGAGUCGGUUGCCCAGGAGCCGCCCGGACGGAAAGGUCGAAGGCGGGUGCGCGG
rnacentral:SRP_RNA from 1 species